rnacentral:rRNA from 1 species
GUCUCUUUGUUUAAAAAAUAUAAAGAGUCGGGCCUGCUCAGUGAUAUAAUAUUUAAACAGCUGCGGUAUCAUAACUGUACUAAGGUAGCAUAAUAAUUUGCCUUAUAAAUUAAGGCUAGAAUGAAUGGUUUGACGAAAGUUGAUCUGUCUCUUAUUUAUUUUUUAGAAAUUAAUUUUUAUAGUGAAAAGCUUUAAUUAUUUAAAGGGACGAGAAGACCCUAUUGAGCUUUAUCAAAUAUAUAUAUAUUUUUUUAAUUAUAUAGUAAAUGAUUUUGAUUGGGGUAAUCAAGGAAUAAAUUAAAUUAUUUAAUAACUUCUUAAAAAAAAAUAUUGACAAUAAAUUAACCAAAUUUUUGCUUACGUGAAUAAGUUACCAUAGGGAUAACAGCGUAAUUUUUUUAGAGAGUUCUUAUUAAUAAAAAAGAUUGCGACCUCGAUGUUGGAUUAAAAUAACCUUAAGGUGAAGAGGCUUUAAUAGGUGAAUCUGUUCGAUUUUUAAAAUUUUAC